rnacentral:rRNA from 1 species
AAAUUAAUCUCCCCGUGAAGAAGCGGGGAUACUCAUAUAAGACGAGAAGACCCCAUGGAGCUUCAAACCCAACUACACCCCUAGCUCUUAUAGCCCCACAACCCCCCUAGGCGCCGUGUGCUUGGUUUUAGGUUGGGGCGACCGCGGAGUACAAUAAAACCUCCACAAUGAAUGGGAACACCCCCUUAUCUGAGGGCCACACCCCCUAAGAAUUAGAACACUAACAUAAAAUGAUCCAUUACUUGAUCAAUGAACCAAGUUACCCUGGGGAUAACAGCGCAAUCCAUUUCAAGAGCCCCUAUCGACAAAUGGGUUUACGACCUCGAUGUUGGAUCAGGGUACCCCAGUGGUGCAGCAGCUACUAACGGUUCGUUUGUUCAACGAUUAAAACCCU